rnacentral:rRNA from 1 species
CUGUUUCGGCUAGGGGGUCAUCCCGACUUACCAACCCGAUGCAAACUGCGAAUACCGAAGAAUGUUAUCACGGGAGACACACGGCGGGUGCUAACGUCCGUCGUGAAGAGGGAAACAACCCAGACCGCCAGCUAAGGUCCCAAAGUCAUGGUUAAGUGGGAAACGAUGUGGGAAGGCACAGACAGCCAGGAUGUUGGCUUAGAAGCAGCCAUCAUUUAAAGAAAGCGUAAUAGCUCACUGGUCGAGUCGGCCUGCGCGGAAGAUGUAACGGGGCUAAACCAUGCACCGAAGCUGCGGCAGCGACACUAUGUGUUGUUGGGUAGGGGAGCGUUCUGUAAGCCGUUGAAGGUGGCCUGUGAGGGUUGCUGGAGGUAUCAGAAGUGCGAAUGCUGACAUAAGUAACGAUAAUGCGGGUGAAAAACCCGCACGCCGGAAGACCAAGGGUUCCUGUCCAACGUUAAUCGGGGCAGGGUGAGUCGACCCCUAAGGCGAGGCCGAAAGGCGUAGUCGAUGGGAAACAGGUUAAUAUUCCUGUACUUGGUGUUACUGCGAAGGGGGGACGGAGAAGGCUAUGUUAGCCGGGCGACGGUUGUCCCGGUUUAAGCAUGUAGGCGGAGGUUCCAGGUAAAUCCGGUACCUUUUUAACGCUGAGGUGUGAUGACGAGGCACUACGGUGCUGAAGUAACAAAUGCCCUGCUUCCAGGAAAAGCCUCUAAGCAUCAGGUAACACGAAAUCGUACCCCAAACCGACACAGGUGGUCAGGUAGAGAAUACCAAGGCGCUUGAGAGAACUCGGGUGAAGGAACUAGGCAAAAUGGUGCCGUAACUUCGGGAGAAGGCACGCUGAUAUGUAGGUGAAGCGGUUUACCCGUGGAGCUGAAAUCAGUCGAAGAUACCAGCUGGCUGCAACUGUUUAUUAAAAACACAGCACUGUGCAAACACGAAAGUGGACGUAUACGGUGUGACGCCUGCCCGGUGCCGGAAGGUUAAUUGAUGGGGUUAUCCGUAAGGAGAAGCUCUUGAUCGAAGCCCCGGUAAACGGCGGCCGUAACUAUAACGGUCCUAAGGUAGCGAAAUUCCUUGUCGGGUAAGUUCCGACCUGCACGAAUGGCGUAAUGAUGGCCAGGCUGUCUCCACCCGAGACUCAGUGAAAUUGAACUCGCUGUGAAGAUGCAGUGUACCCGCGGCAAGACGGAAAGACCCCGUGAACCUUUACUAUAGCUUGACACUGAACACUGGUCCUUGAUGUGUAGGAUAGGUGGGAGGCUUUGAAGUGUGGACGCCAGUCUGCAUGGAGCCAUCCUUGAAAUACCACCCUUUAAUGGCUGGUGUUCUAACGUGGACCCGUUACCCGGGUUGCGGACAGUGUCUGGUGGGUAGUUUGACUGGGGCGGUCUCCUCCUAAAGAGUAACGGAGGAGCACGAAGGUUAGCUAAUCCUGGUCGGACAUCAGGAGGUUAGUGCAAAGGCAUAAGCUAGCUUGACUGCGAGAGUGACGGCUCGAGCAGGUGCGAAAGCAGGUCUUAGUGAUCCGGUGGUUCUGAAUGGAAGGGCCAUCGCUCAACGGAUAAAAGGUACUCCGGGGAUAACAGGCUGAUACCGCCCAAGAGUUCAUAUCGACGGCGGUGUUUGGCACCUCGAUGUCGGCUCAUCACAUCCUGGGGCUGAAGUAGGUCCCAAGGGUAUGGCUGUUCGCCAUUUAAAGUGGUACGCGAGCUGGGUUUAGAACGUCGUGAGACAGUUCGGUCCCUAUCUGCCGUGGGCGCUGGAGAAUUGAGGGGGGCUGCUCCUAGUACGAGAGGACCGGAGUGGACGCAUCACUGGUGUUCGGGUUGUCAUGCCAAUGGCAUUGCCCGGUAGCUAAAUGCGGAAGAGAUAAGUGCUGAAAGCAUCUAAGCACGAAACUUGCCCCGAGAUGAGUUCUCCCUGAGACUAUAAGUCUCCUGAAGGAACGUUAAAGACGAUGACG